GACGAACGCUGGCGGCGCGCUUAACACAUGCAAGUCGAGCGAAGCGGCGGACGGGUGAGUAACACGUGAGUAACCUGCCUUAGACAUUGGGAUAGCCUCGGGAAACCGGGAUUAAUACCAAAUGGUCUAAGAUGGACUCGCGUCGUAUCAGCUUGUUGGUGGGGUAGUGGCCCACCAAGGCGACGAUGGGUAGCCGGCCUGAGAGGGAGAACGGCCACAUUGGAACGGAGAAACGGUCCAAACUAUACGGGAGGCAGGAGUGGGGAAUAUUGCACAAUGGAGGGAACGAUGAUGCAGCGACGCCGCGUGAACGAAGAAGGCUUUCGAGUCGUAAAGUUCUUUUAUAUGGGAAGCGGUACCAUAAGAAAAAGCCCCGGCUAACUACGUGCCAGCAGCCGCGGUAAUUC
rnacentral:rRNA from 1 species